rnacentral:rRNA from 1 species
AGGCAGCAGUAAGGAAUAUUGGUCAAUGGACGCAAGUCUGAACCAGCCAUGCCGCGUGCAGGAUGACGGCCCUCUGGGUUGUAAACUGCUUUUAUCUGGGACGAAAAACGGGUUUUUUAACUCACUUGACGGUACCAGAGGAAUAAGCACCGGCUAACUCCGUGCCAGCAGCCGCGGUAAUACGGAGGGUGCAAGCGUUAUCCGGAUUUACUGGGUUUAAAGGGUGCGUAGGUGGGUAAGUAAGUCAGUGGUGAAAUCUUCAAGCUUAACUUGGAAACUGCCAUUGAUACUAUUUAUCUUGAAUACUCUGGAGGUAAGCGGAAUAUGUCAUGUAGCGGUGAAAUGCUUAGAUAUGACAUAGAACACCAAUUGCGAAGGCAGCUUACUACAUAGUUAUUGACACUGAGGCACGAAAGCAUGGGGAGCGAACAGGAUUAGAUACCCUGGUAG